rnacentral:piRNA from 1 species
CUAUUCCUCUUACACACCUCCUUUCUC